rnacentral:rRNA from 1 species
CCCAGACUCCUACGGGAGGCAGCAGUGGGGGAUAUUGCACAAUGGGGGGAACCCUGAUGCAGCGACGCCGCGUGGGUGAAGAAGCGCCUCGGCGCGUAAAGCCCUGUCAGCAGGGAAGAAAAUGACGGUACCUGAAGAAGAAGCCCCGGCUAACUACGUGCCAGCAGCCGCGGUAAUACGUAGGGGGCAAGCGUUAUCCGGAUUUACUGGGUGUAAAGGGAGCGUAGACGGUUAAUCAAGUCUGAAGUGAAAGCCCGCGGCUCAACUGCGGAACGGCUUUGGAAACUGAGUAACUGGAGUGCUGGAGGGGCAGGCGGAAUUCCUGGUGUAGCGGCGAAAUGCGUAGAUAUCAGGAGGAACACCGGUGGCGAAGGCGGCCUGCUGGACUGCGACUGACGUUGAGGCCCGAAAGCGUGGGGAGCAAACAGGAUUAGAUACCCUCGUACU